rnacentral:lncRNA from 1 species
GCCACUCAUUGAUAUAUAUUGAAAGGGCAAGAUAAUCAUUGAUGCAAGAUUUAACCAAAAAUUACAGGUGAUCGAUUCAGGCUCUUUAGAGCCUGUUGUUUAAAAUUAAAAUUUAAAGACAGUCUGAGACUAAGUUUUUUUUUACAUAGGUUGAAAUGAAACUUGGACAGAGUCUAAUUUUAAAAACCAUGAAAUAGCAUCUAAAGGUUUUUUAUUUUAAUUUGCACAAAACAAGUGUAUUUAGGGACGCAGCUAUCCUUCAUUCAGUCAUCAGCUUUUGGGCUAUUUUCUGUUGUUUGUUUGGGUUGUUGUCUCUUUGACACAUUCCCA